AGUUGCUUGAUGUUCACAUUUCUCGGCUGAGGUUGAAUGAGGCUCCAGAAACUGACCAGCAAGCCUGCAGACCAGCAGAUGGAUGGAGGAAUGACGGGGCAGAGAAAGGGAGAAGAGGAGGAACAUCUGAACGCCAAGAGGAAUAAGGCUGGGGGCAGUCCGAAAGGAUUCUGUUUGCUGGGCGGCCCGACCCCAGGGGAGGAUCAUUUUCCCACUCCAUCCCCUGCUUCUGACUCCCCAUUUAUCCUGCUGAAAGUCACCUCCACCUCCACCUCCACCACUCAAUAAAACUUCGCAUUCAUCCUUCGAGUUCGUGCGUGACCCGAUUUUUCCGGGAGGCUGGACAAAAGCCCGGGAUACGGAAGGAUAACAAUGCGGGAAGCUGGAAUCUAGAGGAACCACAGUAACUUUGAUCUCUAGCUGUGAGGAAGAACAUGCCUGCUUCCCAAGUGACCAUCCUCCCAGCACCAUGAUAUCUAUGAGAUCAAGGGCUCCAGAGAUUACAGAGACAGCUUUUGG
rnacentral:lncRNA from 1 species